rnacentral:tRNA from 1 species
GUGGGUGUAGCUCAACGGUUAGAGCGUCCGCCUGUGGCGCGGAAGGCUGCGGGUUCGAAUCCCGUCAUCCACC